rnacentral:rRNA from 1 species
UACGGGGGGGGCGAGCGUUGUUCGGAAUUACUGGGCGUAAAGGGUUUGUAGGUGGUCUGCUAAGUCAGACGUGAAAUCCCCCGGCUUAACCGGGGAACUGCAUCUGAUACUGGAUGGCUUGAGUUCGGGAGAGGGAUGCGGAAUUCCAGGUGUAGCGGUGAAAUGCGUAGAUAUCUGGAGGAACACCGGUGGCGAAGGCGGCAUCCUGGACCGACACUGACGCUGAGGAGCGAAAGCCAGGGGAGCAAACGGG